rnacentral:rRNA from 1 species
AGAUUGAACGCUGGCGGCAUGCCUUACACAUGCAAGUCGAACGGCAGCACGGGAGCAAUCCUGGUGGCGAGUGGCGAACGGGUGAGUAAUAUAUCGGAACGUGCCCAGUCGUGGGGGAUAACGUAGAGAAAUUUACGCUAAUACCGCAUACGAUCCAAGGAUGAAAGCGGGGGACCGUAAGGCCUCGCGCGACUGGAGCGGCUGAUAUCAGAUUAGCUUGUUGGUGAGGUAAAAGCUCACCAAGGCGACGAUCUGUAGCUGGUUUGAGAGAACGACCAGCCACACUGGGACUGAGACACGGCCCAGACUCCUACGGGAGGCAGCAGUGGGGAAUUU